rnacentral:rRNA from 1 species
UGGGGAAUAUUGCACAAUGGAGGGAACUCUGAUGCAGCGACGCCGCGUGAACGAAGAAGGCUUUCGAGUCGUAAAGUUCUUUUAUAUGGGAAGAUAAUGACGGUACCAUAAGAAAAAGCCCCGGCUAACUACGUGCCAGCAGCCGCGGUAAUACGUAGGGGGCUAGCGUUUUCCGGAAUCACUGGGCGUAAAGGGUUCGCAGGCGGAAAUGCAAGUCAGGUGUAAAAGGCAGUAGCUUAACUACUGUAAGCAUUUGAAACUGCAUAUCUUGAGAAGAGUAGAGGUAAGUGGAAUUUUUAGUGUAGCGGUGAAAUGCGUAGAUAUUAAAAAGAAUACCGGUGGCGAAGGCGACUUACUGGGCUCAUUCUGACGCUGCGGAACGAAAGCGUGGGUAGCAAACAGG